rnacentral:sRNA from 3 species
UUGCUAUCUGCGAUAUGGAAGAUUCGAACCUGCCGCAGGUUCGGGUCGAACGCAGUGAGACAACGGAGCCGUUUACGGCGACGGCCCGAAGGGCGAGGCGAAGCCGAGUCAUCCUGCACGACCCACCA